AAAAAGAAGAGUGGCGAACGGGUGAGUAACACGUGGGUAACCUGCCCAUCAGAAGGGGAUAACACUUGGAAACAGGUGCUAAUACCGUAUAACAAUCGAAACCGCAUGGUUUUGAUUUGAAAGGCGCUUUCGGGUGUCGCUGAUGGAUGGACCCGCGGUGCAUUAGCUAGUUGGUGAGGUAACGGCUCACCAAGGCCACGAUGCAUAGCCGACCUGAGAGGGUGAUCGGCCACAUUGGGACUGAGACACGGCCCAAACUCCUACGGGAGGCAGCAGUAGGGAAUCUUCGGCAAUGGACGAAAGUCUGACCGAGCAACGCCGCGUGAGUGAAGAAGGUUUUCGGAUCGUAAAACUCUGUUGUUAGAGAAGAACAAGGAUGAGAGUAACUGUUCAUCCCUUGACGGUAUCUAACCAGAAAGCCACGGCUAACUACGUGCCAGCAGCCGCGGUAAUACGUAGGUGGCAAGCGUUGUCCGGAUUUAUUGGGCGUAAAGCGAGCGCAGGCGGUU
rnacentral:rRNA from 1 species